GAAGCUCCCCAGGUGACUGUAAGGGGCAGUCAAAGGUGAGAAACUGAGAAAUCUGAGCUGGGGCCUCAUGGGAGCCUGGGGGAUUGUUAAUGACAGCUGUCAUGUCCCAAGCGGUUUCUUUGCACCAGACAGUGUGCUAAUAAGUGAGCACGUUAUCUGCGUUCUCUAAUGUAAUCCUCACUCCAUGAGCAAAGUGCUUUGAAUUUGUUCAUUUGACAGGUGAGGACUGGAGUAACUGACCUAAGGGCACCCAGAUAGAAAGAGGUAUGUAUCCCAGGUCUCUGUAACUCAACAUGAGCUCUAACCCUCAGGGUAAAGCCGCCCCAUGGGGAAAGUCUUGGGGGCUUGCUGGGAGAAUGGGAAUGCCAAGGAUGGAUUGGAACCAAGAGCUUGUCAGCACUCAAAGUAUGGCCCUAUCCCCCAACCCAGGUGGAAGAGCUGAGGUAAGAUGCAGGAGUGAUAAAGAACAGACAAUAUUCAGGAGGUACUAAUUUAAAAUAUGUUAGAUGCCUUUUUAUUUCUUUCAACUUUAAUCUGUAUUUCUCUCUCAAGCAUUUUUGUAGCCAGAUAUUUUGAUUUCUUUAAAUCUUAUUCCAAUCUAUGUUUCCCUUUCUUUUUUUUUUUUUUAAAUUAAAAAUUUUUUGGCCCAGCCUGGUGGCUCGUGCCUGUAAUCCCAACACUUUGGGAGGCCGAGGCAAGCGGAUCACUGGAGGUCAGGAGUUCCAAAACCAGCCUGGCCAACAUGGUGAAACCACUCCCCCGCACCCCGUCUCUACUAAAAAAAUACAAAAAUUAGCGGGCGUGUUGGCGCAUGCCUGUAAUCCCAGCUCCUCAGGAGGCUGAGGCAGGAGAAUAGCUCGAACCCGGGAGGCAGAGGUUGCAGUGAGCCGAGAUCACGCGACUGCAGUCCAGCCUGGGUGACAGAGUAAGACCCAGUCUCUACAAAGAAAAAUAAUUUUUUUUUCUUUGUAGAGACAGGGUUUCUGAGCCAUCGUGUCUGGCCUGUUUCUAAAAUAUUUUUUUGUUGUCCUUUUUACAUUUAUUUUUUAAACUAUGAUAAAUCACAUAUAACAAAAUUUACCAUCUUAACCAUUGGAAGUCUAUAGUUCAGUAUUAAGCACAUCACAUUGUUGUACAGCCUUCACCAUGAUUUAGCCCCAGAGCCUUUUUCAUUUUGCAAAACUGAAACUCUGAACCCAGUAAACAGUCACUCCCCAUUCCCUCUCCCCGCCAGCCCCUGGUAACUCCAUUGUCCUUUCUAUCUCUAUGAAUUUGACUAUACUAGGGACCUCAUAUAAUUGGAAUCAUAUACUUCCCCUCGUGUGAUGGGCUUAUUUAGCUUAGCAUUUGAACAUUUUUAAUAGGCAACUAAUUUCUGCUCUUCUUUUAUGACAAGUUAUUGAUUCAUAGAAAAAUAUGGACUGAUCAGAUGUGGCUGUUUUUUCUCACUUAAUACAUCUCUGGAAACUUAACACAGUAAAUAGCCAGUGACAUGAAAAGAUCAAACUUUUAAAAAGUGACUCGUGGAGCAAACUGGGACUUCGGCAAUCCCUUGGUAUUUUUUUCCUUCUUUAAAAAAAUCAAAAGAUACAAGCUCCCCCAGAGUGCUUGUCAAGAAUGAGUGGGAGGGGGGACCCAGGAAACUUGAAGGAUACAUUAAAUUCUUUAAAUAAAUUCAGGAAGUAACAUCCAGGAGUGGUUCACACCAUUCAUAAAAUAUACAGCUCCCUCCUAGAGAGAGAGGAUUCAGUGUGAUGUUUUUCCCCCUGAAAUAAGCCCGCCCAGCUUCUCAGCACAGACUGUGUGAUUCUUACACUGGGCAGCGCUGCUUCUUCAGGCCGGGCUGUCAGAGCAGGGACAAUCCCAAGCCAAGUCACUGCUUUCAGUUUAUCUCAGAGGGACCAGCAUGUGCCUGGGCGAUAUUAGCACCUUCAGACUGGGAGCCUUCGGAAGGGUUCUGCCAGCAUUCUGGGAAGGCGAUUUUUUUUUUUUUUUUUUUUUUGAGAUGGAGUCUUGCUCUGUCGCCCAGGCUGGAGUGCAGUGGCACAAUCUCGGCUCACUGCAGGCUCCGCCUCCCGGGUUCACGCCAUUCUCCUGCCUCAGCCUCCUGAGUAGCUGGAAAUACAGGCGCCCGCCACCACGCCUGGCUAAUUUUUUGUAUGUUUUUUAGUAGAGACGGGGUUUCACCGCGUUAACCAGGAUGGUCUCGAUCUCCUGACCUCAUGAUCCGCCCGCCUCGGCCUCCCAAAAUGCUGGGAUUACACGCAUGAGCCACCGCACCCGGCCUGGGAAGGCGUUUUUGUAAGGCAGAUUGGCAACUGGACAUUUGCAUUUGGCUUCAUCAUCCAUCAUUGUAUGUUUUUUGGCUUGGGCUGGAGGGCAUAUUUGAUUUAAAUGUAAUAGUUAAUGACUGAGUGGAACAACUGAGAUCUGUCAAGAUUAACUGUUGAGCAGUCAGCUGAAAUGUGUGGGAAUGUGAGUCUGCAGGAAGCUCAAGUUCAAAGUCUGCGACCUUCCUUUCCCGUUGACAUGGUAAAAUCCUGUUACAGUGCUCGAGUCAGAGGACAAGAUGGCACCUACUGUAGUGGAUAUUUGUGGUCUGUUGUCUCUGAUUCUCCUUCUUCUGGUAACGACACUUCCAUUUUUCUUUGGGGAACCACAGAUGCAGUGGGUUCAUUGGAAAAUGAGUGAACUAUUGGUUGGAGCUGGUUUGAGUUUGGUUAGAACCAGGCCUCUCCUAAAUCCCUCUCACUACAGUGAACCAGAAAUGGACAUGUCACCCAAGCUGGGUUCAUGAGCUUCUUCCCUCCCUAGGACCUUUUGCUGUAUAGUUUGGCAAAGAAAUGCUUUCUUCCCCUGGGGUUGUUAAAGCUAGGAAGAUUAUAAACUUGGAGCUGCCAUGACCAUCUUUGGUAAUACUUGGGAAGCACCUGAGAAUGAAGCUAGCAAAAAACAAACAAAAACCGCAAACAAACAAACAAAACGGAGCCGCGACCCUUGUUCAAGUGCUUGGAUCCAUCUGCAACUGAAGGCCAGACACUCUUGAACUUCCAAGUUAUAUGAGCCAAUAAAUACUGCCAUGCCUUCGUCUGUGUGUGUGUGUGUGUGUGUGUGUGUGUGUGUGUGUGUAUGGUUUCAAUUUCUAUGGCUUCCAACUUACUGCAUCCUGUCAAAAACAGCCAUAUUAUGACCAGGUGUGGUGGCUCAUGCCAGCAGUUCCCGCUACUUGGGAGGCUGAGGUAGGAGGAUUGCUUGAGGCCAGGAGUUUGAGGUUUUAGUGUUUUAUGAUUUUGCCUGUGUGAAGCCACUGCUAUUCAGCCUAGGCAACAUAGUGAGACCCAUCCCUGAAAUAAACGACAAGCAAAGCACAUACUUCCUUAACUUUCUAUAUUAUAGUUAGAGGAAAAUGUCAUAUUGCGCACCUGUGAUGUGAUCUGCCUGGUGGCAAGGGUGAGCCCAGGCAGUCAUGGUGAGAUUACAGAGGUUUGGUAUGCCGUGGAGAGACCACUAGACAGGGAGCUGGGAUUCACAGGCUCUAGGUGCCUUUCUUCUUCCUGGCUAGGUAACCUGGGCAAGUCUCUUAAGCUUUCUCAGCCUCAGCUCUCAACAUCUGUAAAACAGAGGAAUUAAACUAGGUGAUCUUCGAAGUCGCUUUUAGCUCUAUAUGGUCCUGUAACUGUUUUAUUUAAUAUCUGUGUUUUAAAUGGGCAGUAGAAAUAGGGACAAAAUCAAAGAGAAACAAUUAAAAAUACCCCCUAGAUCUCUACGAAUUGCUUGAAGAUCCACCUUUUUUUUUAAUACAAUUUUUAGUGUAAAUUUUUUAAGUUGAAGUGUAACCUACAUACAGAAGAACGGUCAUACCUGGCCAGACAGGGUCGCUCAUGCCUGUAAUCCCAGCACCUUGGGAGGCUGAGGUGGGUGGAUCGCUUGAGCUCAGGAGUUCAAGACCAGCCUGGGCAAUAUGGGGAAACCCUGUCCCUACAAGAAAUUAGCUAGGUGUGGUGGCACGCACCUGUAGUGCCAGCUACUCAGGAGGCUGAGGUGGUUGGAUUACUUGAGCUCAGGAGUUCAAGACCAGCCUGGGCAAUAUGGGGAAACCCUGUCUCUACAAAAAAAUUAGCUAGGUGUGGUGGCAUGCACCUGUAGUCCCAGCUACUCAGGAGACUGAGGUGGGAGGAUCACUUGAGCCUGGGAGGCAGAGGUUGCAGGGAGCCAAGAUCGUGCCACUGCACUUCAGCCUGGGCGACAGAGUGAGACACUGUCUC
rnacentral:lncRNA from 10 species